AACAGGAAUUUUAAGAGUAAAUUAAUUUUGCUACAAGGUGUUAUUAAGACCAGGUGAGGAUGGCCUUGAAUCACAAUGGCUCCUCUCCGCCAGCAAGAGCACCAUGGCUCCCAGGGGCUUGCCAGAGCUUCUCCCAGAAGGAAACACCCCAGAUUUACGAUCAUCCCUAACAAUUCUCACAGGAAAGACACAUCUAAACAGAAUGUUUUACCAACUAUAAGAGCAUCCUUUAGACCAGUCAAGCUGACGCACAAAAUUAACCAUCACGGAAGUAACAAAGUACUCAUGUCAAAAGGAAUAAGGAUCUGUAAAACUUACCAAAAGUGCAACCAAACAGAAAGAUUAAAUUGACUUAUUGAAUUUCUUUCGUUCACCUAGAAAAUUUACCAGUGUUAUUCCUUUCACGUUAACAAGAAAAUAAUCAUAAAUUUGUUCUGACCAAAUAACUG
rnacentral:lncRNA from 1 species